UAAUACGAAAUGGACAGUUGACAGCAA
rnacentral:piRNA from 1 species